UACAGAGGUCUCAAGCGUUGUUCGGAUUCAUUGGGCGUAAAGGGUGCUUAGGCGGCGCGGUAAGUCGGGUGUGAAAUCUCGGGGCUUAACUCCGAAACUGCAUUCGAUACUGCCGUGCUUGAGGACUGGAAAGGAGACUGGAAUUUACGGUGUAGCGGUGAAAUGCGUAGAUAUCGUAAGGAAGACCAGUGGCGAAGGCGGGUCUCUGGACAGUUCCUGACGCUGAGGCACGAAGGUCAGGGGAGCAAACGGG
rnacentral:rRNA from 1 species